rnacentral:rRNA from 1 species
UACGUAGACCUCAAGCGUUAUCCGGAUUUAUUGGGCGUAAAGAGCGUGUAGGUGGUUCUGCGCGUCUUCUGUUAAAGACCACUGCUCAACGGUGGAAGUGCAGAGGAUACGGCAGAACUAGAGCGAGUUAGAGGCAAGCGGAACGCACGGUGUAGGGGUGAAAUCCGUUGAUAUCGUGCGGAACACCAAUGGCGAAGGCAGCUUGCUGGGACUCUGCUGACACUGAGACGCGAAAGCGUGGGGAG